UACGAGGGAUCCUAGCGUUGUUCGGAAUCAUUGGGCGUAAAGGGUGUGUAGGCGGCCAUGUAAGUCAGUUGUGAAAGCCCCGGGCUCAACCCGGGAAGUGCUUCUGAUACUGCUUGGCUUGAGUAUUGGAUAGGUGAGUGGAAUUCCAGGUGUAGUGGUGAAAUACGUAGAUAUCUGGAGGAACACCGGCGGCGAAGGCGGCUUACUGGCCAUAUACUGACGCUGAAACACGAAAGCGUGGGUAGUAAACAGG
rnacentral:rRNA from 1 species